GGUAGUUGAAUCAAACUUUGCCACCAAAGUUGUUUCUUAGAAUAUCAGCCAGAAUCAGCCUAGCUAGCUAGAGAUUAAGCGUACCGACCAAGAAGACUUAAUUCCUUUGCUUUGCCCCUUCUUUUUGAAAUUCAAAUGCCCUUCUUCAUCCUCAUAAAUACACAAAUUAAAAGCUCAAGGGAUCUCAUCAGUAAACUUUUUCUGUUGUCUCAAGCUUUAAAUUUAAUAUACCCACCUCUGUUUUGUUGUUGGGUUGGUGGCAAAUUCAAUGCUAUAACUUCUUCUAGGCUCAACAUCCCAUCCCCUCUCACCUUCCCCCAUCUCUUUCUACCCCACCCCACACUCAUACUCCCAUUAAAUAAUGGUGAUCUCACUUACAGGGCAUCUCUUGUUCACUUGCAAACAGCACUUCCAUCUUCUCUGCCUCCAUUGCUUCUCUUUCUGCAUUCUUUAUGCUAUCUAGCUACUUUCUUGCAGCUAUAUCUCUUUCUCCUUGGCAAUAUCAGGUUUACUGCUGAAUUUUUCACAAAGAAAGCCAGGUGAGUUAAUGAAGGUCAGAUAAGUAAAAUGUAUUUUUUUCUAAGAGUUAUAAAAUCAAAGUCUAAUAUUUUAUCUUUUAAUUUUAUGGCAAUAUUGAAUUUGUAUUUUUCUUGGUUUCAUUAAAAAAAAUUAUUGUAAAGGGACUUUUCUGGUGGUAGGUGAAGAUUGAGAGAAGACAUAAAUUUUUCUCUGCAAUUGAUUGUUCCUUCUGGGUAAAGGCCGACCACUUUGUUGACAAAGUGAUAGGAGUAGGUUACCAGAUUCGAUCUUCUACUUCGUUUCAUUAGUAAAGCUCUUUUCAGAAUCAUAAUAAAGUUUCAAAACCAAACCCCUUUUACCAAGCCAAUUAGGUCCCAUUAUUUUAUCAUUAAAAUACACUAUCUCCUGUAUAGUAUAUAUAUAUGUGGUAUUUUAUCAUAAACCCUUCAAAAGCUAUGCUUUUAGUGUCGAAUUGUCGAUAUAUAUAAACAUUCUUCUUGCACCGUUAAAUGCAGAAGUCUACAAUUAAUAAAAGAUAUAGAAAUGCUUUUUAUGAA